rnacentral:rRNA from 1 species
UCGGACGGGGACAAGAUUAACAGGAUUAGAUACCCUGGUAGUCCACGCCCUAAACGAUGGAUACUAGGCGUAAGAGGUAUCGACCCCUCUUGUGCCGCAGCUAACGCAUUAAGUAUCCCGCCUGGGGAGUACGGCCGCAAGGUUGAAACUCAAAUGAAUUGACGGGGACCCGCACAAGCGGUGGAGCAUGUGGAUUAAUUCGAUACUAACCGAAGAACCUUACCCAGACUUGACAUCGAUGGUAAGCCGUAGAAAUAUGGCCCUCUCCCAAAAGGAGACCUGAAGACACUUGUUGCAUGGCUGUCGUCAGCUCGUGCCGUGAGGUGUACGGUUAAGUCCGCCAACGAGCGCAACCCUCGUCCUGUGUUACCAGCAAGUAAAGUUGGGGACUCACAGGAGACCGCCGGUGUAAACCGGAGGAAGGUGAGGAUGACGUCAAGUCAGCAUGGCAGUUACGUCUGGGGCUUCACACAUGCUACAAUGGGCGCAACAAAGGGCAGCGAUACCGCGAGGUGGAGCCAAUCCCAAAAAUACGCCCCCAGUUCAGAUUGCAGUCUGCAACUCGACUGCAUGAAGGCGGAAUCGCUAGUAAACGCAGGUCAGCUAUACUGCGUUGAAUACGUUCCCGGGUCUUGUACACACCGCCCGUCAAGUCACCUGAAUUGUCUUCACCCGAAGUCCGUGGCCUAACCGCAAGGAAGGAGCGGCCGAAGGUGAGGGGAGUAAGGGGGACUAAGUCGUAACAAGGUAACCAAUCUU